AUGCUGUUGUUAGGUGCCAAAAGAUCACCCUGCUCUGAUGCCCAUAAAAUGAGGAUAUUUUUAAGAAGGGCAAGGAGAUACUUCAUAGCAAUGAAGACUUUUUUUUUCAGAACUAUAUUAAGCAACUUUGAAAACAGAAAGUUUUGUCAAGGCCCAUCAUGGCUUGCCACAUGUUUCCUGCCAUGUCCCUUCAUGCCUGAUUGUCUUGUUUCUUUUUUUCUUUUGCAGCAAAGAGCUCCUUGGCCUACAUUAAAAAAAAAUAAUAAAAAAAAAAAUUCCAAGGAAUAUUUGAGCACCAGCCAAUGUACCUUUCAGGCAGCACUCCUCACUCCUGUUACCCUUAUAUUGAUACAAGCACCCAAGCUGGCAGGUACUCCCUCUGUAAGCCCUGUUCCUGCUACUUGUCACCUCCAGUAUGCUGUCCCAUCUCUCAGGAGCAGUGCCAGUGUUCACAUAUUCUUGACUGUGCCUGACAGCACUGUUGGAGUAUGUCAUGAGGACUUCCCCUUCAGCAACCUCAAGAAGCCUUGCUGGCACCUGGUGGGGGAUCUGAAGACUAUUUACAUUCCAGAGGAAUUUACUGGGAAAGUCCAGGACUCUCAGGGCUUUGAAUACAUCUGAGGAGAGACGCCUGAUUGCCGUAACCCGAGAUGGGGUUCUUUGCUCAAGUGUCUGAAGCCCUGGUCCAGUUGCAAGCCAGCUCUCUGCAAGUUUGACUGACUUGGUCUAUAUCAACAACAACAACAACAACAACAACAACAACAAAGCAAUUGUGCAGGUGCUGGCCAAGCAUGUCUGGCUGAGUCUGCGAGGCUGCAUAGCCUGUGGCGAGAAACCUCAGGUUUGCUGUUUGUUUGCCACAUACUCAACACUGCUGUUAUUAUUUUACUGCCUGUAACUGAGGUGCUUCACAGUCACAAAUAUCAAAGGGAAAGAAAAUGUUUUAUUCUCCCCCACAAUCCUGUUAACAGAAUGUGUUACCAAAGCAAAAUGAUUUUCUUACAGAUAUGGCCCUUGUAAUGAGGAAGAACAGACUCAAAGGUGAAUACCUUCGACCACAGGUCCUUUCAGUCCUGGAGGAUGCGAGGGCAGCUUCAUCAGCUCUUUCACCACAGCUGACCUUUUGGCUGCAUGGGACAUAGAGAAAAUACUGUUUAUUGUGAAAAAAACCCAAAAGGCAGUAAGGGUCUAGCAUUCAGGUGAAUGGGUACCAGUCAGUUGCCUUUGAAGCUGGCUCAGCACUGUAUGGAAAAUUGCUUUUUGGUGCCAUGCACGUGCCAAUGGCAGCCAGCCUGGAUUCCUACAGCCCAGACAUGGUGCCAGAGUCAUCAUCACACCCAGCCCACUCAUUCUACAGCCCUUCUCCAUGCUGAACUCUCAUCUCCCUGCUCAAGAGAAAAGCCAGAGUGCCUCCCAGAGUGUUGGGAUUCUUCCUAUUCCCAGCUGACUUUUCCUAGAAAGACCAGAACUGAUAGACAGAUCAUGGGUACAGCAUAAACCAGAGAAAAGCACUGUGUAAUCAAAUAUCUAAGUAUUUUUUUCAUAAGCAGCAAAGCAAACACUCACUUACAGGGGCAUGCAGGUGCUCAUCCUGGAACAGAGGUGACUUUCUGUGGUAGCACACUGGGCAAAAUGUAAUCCCAAAGUCUGUGGCAAAACAGGGAGAAGUGGACCUCGGGGGUUCUUACCUCAGUCUCCUACCAGGGGAUUAUUCUGAAGCAGUAAACUUCUCUGUUUGCAGAUCCACAGAAGACUAAUGCCUGAGGCUUUCUGUUCCCAGCACUGCCCUUCAGCCUGCAUUUUGGCGAUCAGAAGUGGCAGCAUUAAACCCAGAGUCCAUUUUCUGUCAUGCAAAGGUGGAUGACUGUCAGGGACCAUAGGUCUCUAACUCUUGUUCCCAGCUGUGUUGGUUUAAGACGUUACCUCCAUCCUCCCUCUUUCCUUCCCCAGGCACUAAUGUCUGUCUGUGUCCCUGCUCUGCUGGCUUAAGCUACUGUGCCAGGUGAUAAAAGCUAAUGAACCAGAUGAGAACUGGGUCAACAGAGCAAUAAAUACACAUUUACACCUGCA
rnacentral:lncRNA from 1 species